rnacentral:lncRNA from 1 species
CAGAUUUCUCGACCAGUUUGCUGAUUUAAGCCACACAAGUUCAAGCAGCCUUGCUUUACUUUCAGCAGUCUCUCUGAUCCAGCCUCUUACAUCAACUUCCAUUUAUUAUGUGGUGCUAUCAUCACCUCCCCACAGAUCAUCAAAUCCAGCUUAAUCCAGCAUCACCAUGUUCACCACUAAAUCCUAUUCCGAAAUGCUGCAUCCACACUUCUAAAUACCUCUGAAAACAGUCACUCAACCACUUCCCUGGAAAGCCUGUUACAACGCCUGACUACCCUCAGUGAAAAAAUAUUUCCUAGUAUCCAGUCUAAACUUCACCUGGCACAACUUGAGGCCAUUUCCUUCUGUUACUUUUUAACUGGAAGACCGACCCCCCCCCCCCCCCCCCCCCCGCCCCCCUCGCUACAGCCUAUUCUCAGGCAGUUGUAGAAAUCUGAACUUCCCUUUCUGCAGGCUGAACACCUCCAGCACCCUCAAUUACUCCUCACAGGAUUUGCACUCCAGAGCCUUCACAAGCUCUGUUGCCAUGCUCUGGACUCACUCCAGCUCCUCAAUAUCUUUCUUGUCAUGAAGGGCCCAGAACUGAAGACAGGACUCGAGAUGUGGCCUCACCAAUGUCCAGUACAGGGUAAUCGUGCACUGUAUUAGAAUUGUUUAGCAACACACGUAUGUUACCACUUUGUGGUUUCUGUGCUUGUAAAGUCUUUCAGCUGCAUUUCAGAGUGAGAGCCAAAUAUACUACAGCUUUGUUUUGCCUUCAAAACAAACUUCAAAGUUCAGCAUUAGGGUUUAAGGGAACAACAGCAGAGUAUAUAGCAUGUCAAAUACUUUGGUACCCACUGAAAGUUAAAGCAAGAAUUAGAAAAUUGAAGUGAUGAAAUGCAAAGAUUCCAAAGACUCACCAAAUCCUUGCUGAGAGGGUCCUCUCAGGGAGAGAUACAGCUGCACCCCAGGUUGUUGCUGCUCACUAUCAUCUCUCUGGGUGAAGCAGUACUGCUGUUCUUGCUCUGUGCUUGUGUUCUCACAGAAGAGGAGCUCAGGGUGGGGAGGAGGACCCCUCUGUGCAACACCUAUGCAGGUAAGCCAGGAUUAGCAGUGCUGAAGAGGAACAAAAUAUAAUUGAUGUGAACUUAAAGGAUUUUGCCUCUGACUGUGCAUGAGAUGGAAUUGCCCUGGGAUUGAAUAAGAG